rnacentral:piRNA from 1 species
UAAACCUCUUAGGUGGCCUUAUCCUCUG